rnacentral:rRNA from 1 species
UUUGGUUAAGUUAGAAAGGGCGCACGGUGGAUGCCUUGACACUAGGAGUCGAUGAAGGACGGGACUAACGCCGAUAUGCUUCGGGGAGCUGUAAGUAAGCUUUGAUCCGAAGAUUUCCGAAUGGGGAAACCCACCAUACGUAAUGGUAUGGUAUCCUUAUCUGAAUACAUAGGGUAAGGAAGACAGACCCAGGGAACUGAAACAUCUAAGUACCUGGAGGAAGAGAAAGCAAAUGCGAUUUCCUGAGUAGCGGCGAGCGAAACGGAACAUAGCCCAAACCAAGAGGCUUGCCUCUUGGGGUUGUAGGACAUUCUAUACGGAGUUACAAAGGAACGAGGUAGACGAAGCGACCUGGAAAGGUCCGUCGUAGAGGGUAACAACCCCGUAGUCGAAACUUCGUUCUCUCUUGAAUGUAUCCUGAGUACGGCGGAACACGUGAAAUUCCGUCGGAAUCUGGGAGGACCAUCUCCCAAGGCUAAAUACUCCCUAGUGAUCGAUAGUGAACCAGUACCGUGAGGGAAAGGUGAAAAGCACCCCGGAAGGGGAGUGAAAGAGAUCCUGAAACCGUGUGCCUACAAAUAGUCAGAGCCCGUUAACGGGUGAUGGCGUGCCUUUUGUAGAAUGAACCGGCGAGUUACGAUCCCGUGCGAGGUUAAGCUGAAGAGGCGGAGCCGCAGCGAAAGCGAGUCUGAAUAGGGCGUUUAGUACGUGGUCGUAGACCCGAAACCAGGUGAUCUACCCAUGUCCAGGGUGAAGUUCAGGUAACACUGAAUGGAGGCCCGAACCCACGCACGUUGAAAAGUGCGGGGAUGAGGUGUGGGUAGCGGAGAAAUUCCAAUCGAACCUGGAGAUAGCUGGUUCUCCCCGAAAUAGCUUUAGGGCUAGCCUUAAGUGUAAGAGUCUUGGAGGUAGAGCACUGAUUGGACUAGGGGUCCUCAUCGGAUUACCGAAUUCAGUCAAACUCCGAAUGCCAAUGACUUAUCCUUAGGAGUCAGACUGCGAGUGAUAAGAUCCGUAGUCAAAAGGGAAACAGCCCAGACCGCCAGCUAAGGUCCCAAAGUGUGUAUUAAGUGGAAAAGGAUGUGGAGUUGCUUAGACAACUAGGAUGUUGGCUUAGAAGCAGCCACCAUUUAAAGAGUGCGUAAUAGCUCACUAGUCGAGUGACUCUGCGCCGAAAAUGUACCGGGGCUAAAUACACCACCGAAGCUGCGGAUUGAUACCAAUGGUAUCAGUGGUAGGGGAGCGUUCUAAGGACAGUGAAGUCAGACCGGAAGGACUGGUGGAGUGCUUAGAAGUGAGAAUGCCGGUAUGAGUAGCGAAAGACGGGUGAGAAUCCCGUCCACCGAAUGCCUAAGGUUUCCUGAGGAAGGCUCGUCCGCUCAGGGUUAGUCAGGACCUAAGCCGAGGCCGACAGGCGUAGGCGAUGGACAACAGGUUGAUAUUCCUGUACCACCUCUUUAUCGUUUGAGCAAUGGAGGGACGCAGAAGGAUAGAAGAAGCGUGCGAUUGGUUGUGCACGUCCAAGCAGUUAGGCUGAUAAGUAGGCAAAUCCGCUUAUCGUAAAGGCUGAGCUGUGAUGGGGAAGCUCCUUAUGGAGCGAAGUCUUUGAUUCCCCGCUGCCAAGAAAAGCUUCUAGCGAGAUAAAAGGUGCCUGUACCGCAAACCGACACAGGUAGGCGAGGAGAGAAUCCUAAGGUGUGCGAGAGAACUCUGGUUAAGGAACUCGGCAAAAUGACCCCGUAACUUCGGGAGAAGGGGUGCUUUCUUAACGGAAAGCCGCAGUGAAUAGGCCCAAGCGACUGUUUAGCAAAAACACAGCUCUCUGCGAAGCCGUAAGGCGAAGUAUAGGGGGUGACACCUGCCCGGUGCUGGAAGGUUAAGGAGAGGGGUUAGCGUAAGCGAAGCUCUGAACUGAAGCCCC